rnacentral:rRNA from 1 species
UGCGUAGGCGGUCGGGUAAGUCUGAUGUGAAAUCUCAGAGCUCAACUCUGAAACUGCAUUGGAUACUAUUCGGCUUGAGGUCUGGAGGGGGGACUGGAAUUCUCGGUGUAGCAGUGAAAUGCGUAGAUAUCGAGAGGAACACCAGUGGCGAAGGCGAGUCCCUGGACAGGUCCUGACGCUGAGGCACGAAAGCUAGGGGAGCAAACA